GUCGAGGGGUAGAAGCUUUCGGGCUUUGAGACCGGCGCACGGGUGCGUAACGCGUAUGCAAUCUGCCUUGUACUGAGGGAUAGCCCAGAGAAAUUUGGAUUAACACCUCAUAGCAUUUUAGUGUGGCAUCACAUUAUUAUUAAAGGUUACGGUACAAGAUGAGCAUGCGUCCCAUUAGCUAGUUGGUAUGGUAACGGCAUACCAAGGCUACGAUGGGUAGGGGUCCUGAGAGGGAGAUCCCCCACACUGGUACUGAGACACGGACCAGACUCCUACGGGAGGCAGCAGUGAGGAAUAUUGGUCAAUGGGCGAGAGCCUGAACCAGCCAUGCCGCGUGCAGGAUGAAGCAUCUAUGGUGUGUAAACUGCUUUUGUACGGGAAGAAACACUCCCUCGUGAGGGAGCUUGACGGUACCGUAAGAAUAAGGAUCGGCUAACUCCGUGCCAGCAGCCGCGGUAAUACGGAGGAUCCAAGCGUUAUCCGGAAUCAUUGGGUUUAAAGGGUCCGUAGGCGGUUUUAUAAGUCAGUGGUGAAAUCCGGCAGCUCAACUGUCGAAUUGCCAUUGAUACUGUAGAACUUGAAUCAUUGUGAAGUAACUAGAAUAUGUAGUGUAGCGGUGAAAUGCUUAGAUAUUACAUGGAAUACCAAUUGCGAAGGCAGGUUACUAACAAUGUAUUGACCGCUGAUGGACGAAAGCGUGGGUAGCGAACAGGAUUAGAUACCCUGGUAGUCCACGCCGUAAACGAUGGAUACUAGCUGUUCGGAAGUAAUUCUGAGUGGCUAAGCGAAAGUGAUAAGUAUCCCACCUGGGGAGUACGGGCGCAAGCCUGAAACUCAAAGGAAUUGACGGGGGCCCGCACAAGCGGUGGAGCAUGUGGUUUAAUUCGAUGAUACGCGAGGAACCUUACCAGGGCUUAAAUGUAGUAUGACAGGUUUGGAAACAGACUUUUCUUCGGACAUAUUACAAGGUGCUGCAUGGUUGUCGUCAGCUCGUGCCGUGAGGUGUCAGGUUAAGUCCUAUAACGAGCGCAACCCCUGUUGUUAGUUGCCAGCGAGUCAUGUCGGGAACUCUAACAAGACUGCCGGUGCAAACCGUGAGGAAGGUGGGGAUGACGUCAAAUCAUCACGGCCCUUACGUCCUGGGCUACACACGUGCUACAAUGGCAGGUACAGAGAGCAGCCACUUCGCAAGGAGGAGCGAAUCUAUAAAGCCUGUCUCAGUUCGGAUUGGAGUCUGCAACCCGACUCCAUGAAGCUGGAAUCGCUAGUAAUCGGAUAUCAGCCAUGAUCCGGUGAAUACGUUCCCGGGCCUUGUACACACCGCCCGUCAAGCCAUGGAAGCUGGGGGUACCUGAAGUCGGUGACCGCAA
rnacentral:rRNA from 1 species